rnacentral:lncRNA from 1 species
AAGCAACAACACCGGAGCAAAGCAUGCUCCCAUGGCUUCUGCUGGACCUUGCUCCUGCUGUACAAAAAAAUACAGAGCAAACCUUUACAAAUCCACUGCAAGGCCUCUCUCUUGGUGAUGUUUAAAGCAUCCAAAAAAAGUUAUUGCGAUGUGUAAAGUACCCAAAAUUAUUCGGAAGGAUUGAUCUCAUAUGAUGGUGGAAACCAUCUCAAACCCGU